rnacentral:rRNA from 1 species
UACAGAGGGUGCGAGCGUUGUCCGGAAUCACUGGGCGUAAAGGGCGCGUAGGUGGCGCGACAAGUCAGUGGUGAAAGUUCGACGCUCAACGUCGAAUCGGCCACUGAUACUGUUGGCUUGAGCACUGUAGAGGCUAAUGGAAUUCCGGGUGUAGCGGUGGAAUGCGUAGAGAUCCGGAAGAACACCGGUGGCGAAGGCGGUUAGCUGGGCAGUUGCUGACACUGAGGCGCGACAGCGUGGGGAGCAAACAGGG